rnacentral:lncRNA from 1 species
UUUUUUUUUUCAUUUAAUUCCUAUUGUUAUUAGGUUUGUGCUAGAUUAGUAGGGUUAGUAAUAUUUAGAAUUAGGUUAGGUUUACAAGAAGAAGAAAUAUGAACAAAAAUAAGAAAAUAAGAUUAGGAAAAAGGAAAAUAAGAAGAGGAGGAGAAGAAAAUAAGAAAAAGGAGAAUAAGAAGAGGAGGAGAGGAGAAGAAGAGGA